rnacentral:lncRNA from 1 species
GUGCUGGUCAGGAGUCUGCAGCCUCCCAGCAGGGAAGAUAACUGGCAGCCAUCAUUUGGGGGCAGAGAAAAAUGCUGCUGUUGUAGAAAACAGCAGAUGGGAAAACCUCAAUUUGAAACAAAUCCUAAGCACUUCCAUUUCCCAUUGACUUAUUCUAACAUGACAUCAAAUAAAGAUCACAAGCCCAAAGUCAAUAUGUUUGCUCAGACAGAAUAAUUCCAGUCAAACAAUACUCAGUGUCAGGAAUGACGGUAUCACACCAAAAUCAGGAAAACAAAGACAGACAUGCUCAUGGACCUAACAAGGAGCAAACCCCUCUUUGUCCAGCCAUUUCAGUAUUGAACAUGCUUGUAGGAGCAAGUCUUAUUUGUAAAAGAAGUCAUAAUUUAUAAUGAAAUAAUGGUCACAUGAUCUUGUACCUAUAUAACUUGAGGGAAACCCCAAGAAAUCCCUAGACUCUCCUUCCUGCACCUCCUGGACUGAAGCACUAGGAACCUGACUCAGAGAUCACCAAAAUUAACUGGGGCCAAAGACCACAGUAGAAUGAGAAGAUUUUAUAUAUAGAUUCUAUGCUUUUCUAUGUCCCUGUAUGGCCAGCUCUGUGCACUAAAUUGUUAUUAGUCCCUAAAAGAUUCGGGAACAACUUAAAAUUCUUAGCUAUUAAAAUUAUGAAAUAAUGGUUUUAUUUACUCUGGCAUAAGAACCAUUGCUUUCAGGAUUUAUGUAUAAACUUUUUCCUUUCCAUCCAUGUGACUGAUUUUUUUCUUGAUGUCAGUCGAAAGAAAAAUCUCAGAUGCCAAGUAUGACUUUCGAUGUCACCGUUACAGUGCUGCGAGUUGGCAUCACUUCGAAUCAACUUCCAGUAGCCUGUAAACGCGGCUGAAUGGAUUCCUUAAAAGAAAAUUAGCUCUAAAAUGUAAGUGAAGACCUGCUGUCAAAAACCCAGCCGAUGCCACGGCAAAGCCAAACUAGGCGAGGCCAGGCAAGGGACCCCCGCACUGCCGGAGCGGCCGGGAGAGGGAACCAGCCGGUUGAGCUUCACACUCCGAGCAGCCGUGGCAAAUCUCAGGAACACGAACGCUGUUCCCCGGAAUCGCGCUCAGCUUUUACUAACUCGAAGACAGUGUGAGCGGCAGAACCCGGAGCGUGUGUCGGCGAAGAAGCACCGCGAGCCGCCUCACUCCGGGCGAGCCCUUAGCAAAGGAGCAACACGAGCGCCCGGCGGGAUCAGCAGCAGCAGCAGCAACAACAACAAGGGCACCGGGAGGGCUUCCCUCCUUCCUUCUCGGUGAUUUCCCAGGUGGAGUGCACACAGAAUAUGAUGCUUUUUAUCUUGCUCAGUGCUUGAAGGUAUUUAUUUUUACAUUUGCUUAUGCAUGGUUUUGAUUUAAUUUCUUUGCAGUAUAAUUUAAUCCCAGUCAAUAGUUCGACCCACUUAACUACCAAGCAGGGGAAUAAAUGAAGCUAAUUUUGACUCUCUUUUUCUCA